AUUGAACGCUGGCGGCAGGCCUAACACAUGCAAGUCGAACGAGUGGCAGACGGGUGAGUAAUGUCUGGGACACUGCCUGAGGGAGGGGGAUAACUACUGGAAACGGUCGCUAAUACCGCAUACCCUCAUAUGUGCCGAGAUGGGAUGAGCUUGUUGGUGGGGUAACGGCUCACCAAGGCGACGAUCCCUAGCUGGUGUGAGAGGAUGACCAGCCACACUGGAACUGAGACACGGUCCAGACUCCUACGGGAGGCAGCAGUGGGGAAUCUUCGACAAUGGACGAAAGUCUGAUCCAGCCACGCCGCGUGUAUGAAGAAGGUUUUCGGGUUGUAAAACACUGUUGUUGGGGAAGCGGUACCCACCGAGGAAGCAACGGCUAACUCCGUGCCAGCAGCCGCGGUAAUAC
rnacentral:rRNA from 1 species